rnacentral:rRNA from 1 species
AUUGAACGCUAGCGGCAGGCCUAACACAUGCAAGUCGAACGAGUGGCGGACGGGUGAGUAAUAUCUCGGAAAGUGCCUAGUAGCGGGGGAUAACUACUGGAAAGGGUGGCUAAUACCGCAUACAAUUGGAGCGGCCGAUAUUGGAUUAGCUUGUUGGUGGGGUAAAGGCUCACCAAGGCAACGAUCCUGAGCUGGUUUGAGAGGAUGACCAGACACACUGGAACGGAUGCACGGCCCAGACUCCUACGGGAGGCAACAGGGGGGAAUUUUGGACAAUAGGCGAAACCCUGGUCCAGCCAUCCCGCGUGUAUGAAAGGGCCUUCGGGUUGUAAAGUACUUUUAGCAGGGAAGCGUUAUCUGCAUAAUAAGCACCGGCUAACUCCGUGCCAGCAGCCGCGUUAAUAC